GGUUUUUUUGAAUUGUGAAAUUGUCAACUGAAUAUUCUUGGAUUCAACUAGACUUUUGGGCAUCAACUAGACGAAGAUUCUUGGAUUCUUAGUAACACAUCUAUUGUAUAGAAACGAAAUUUGAUAGUUUUUUUAUAGAUAAAUAAUGUAUAUGAUCUGGAUGAGAAAAAAUAAAUUGAAAGUGCAUAAAGAAAGUGGAG
rnacentral:lncRNA from 1 species